GGGCAGGAUGUGUGAAGUAGGCCCACCCGCAAGCGGGAUGUUCCUGCUUCACUGACCUUAUUCGCGCUACGCACUCAACGGACAUCCUGCUCUGCGAGGCU
rfam:Methylomicrobium alcaliphilum str. 20Z plasmid MEALZ_p, complete genome.